rnacentral:rRNA from 1 species
AGUGAACGCUGGCGGUAGGCCUAACACAUGCAAGUCGAACGGCAGCACAGUAAGAGCUUGCUCUUACGGGUGGCGAGUGGCGGACGGGUGAGGAAUACAUCGGAAUCUACUUUUUCGUGGGGGAUAACGCAGGGAAACUUACGCUAAUACCGCAUACGACCUACGGGUGAAAGCAGGGGAUCUUCGGACCUUGCGCGAGUGAAUGAGCCGAUGUCGGAUUAGCUAGUUGGCGGGGUAAAGGCCCACCAAGGCGACGAUCCGUAGCUGGUCUGAGAGGAUGAUCAGCCACACUGGAACUGAGACACGGUCCAGACUCCUACGGGAGGCAGCAGUGGGGAAUAUUGGACAAUGGGCGCAAGCCUGAUCCAGCCAUACCGCGUGGGUGAAGAAGGCCUUCGGGUUGUAAAGCCCUUUUGUUGGGAAAGAAAAGCGGCAGGUUAAUCCCCCGCUGUUCUGACGGUACCCAAAGAAUAAGCACCGGCUAACUUCGUG